rnacentral:misc_RNA from 1 species
UUGUUUGAUGCCGUCUAGCUGGUUCAUAGGAAAUACUCCUUGAAAAGUAAAGUGUUAGAUGAGUGUGUUGAUUCACACUUCUGAAAGAUUGAUACACUACAUAACCAAAAAGCAUAGCAGACAGGCAUGGUAUUGCUGGUAUAAGCAGGUAACAUGGCCGUUAUAAGUUGAUAACAAACUCUUGCGCCGUGUCGUGAUAGUUUGCAGACCUUCAAAGUUUGUGUUGCGCAGUACGGUGAUAAUGUGCGGCGCACCAGGCCGCGUCACUUUUUGAACGAUACGUGAAAGGAACAACAAGAUGGAUGAGCAGUUAAAACAAAGCGCCCUUGAUUUCCACGAAUUUCCGGUACCCGGUAAAAUUCAGGUUUCUCCGACUAAGCCCCUAGCCACCCAACGCGAUCUGGCGUUGGCUUACUCGCCAGGCGUGGCGGCGCCCUGCCUGGAAAUCGAAAAAGAUCCGCUGGCAGCCUACAAAUACAC